GGCCAGCCUGAACUACAUAGUAAAACCCCGUCUGCAAACAAAAUGUUUUCAAGGAUUAUAUUCCCUGUGUUUCUUUGAUCUUUUGGAGGAAUAAAACUGUUCAGGCAAGAGAGAAUUCUCCGUCUGAUUUGCUUCGAGUGGACUUGCACUCCUGUAUAUCAUUGAGAUUCCUCUGUGCAAGCUGUGCCUCACUAGAGAUGAACAAGAGGAAGAGUCCAUGGAGUGGAGUGUUUGAAAGCAAGCAGUCAGCACACAGAGUGACCAGACUGUUGGGGAUGUAGCACCAGGAAUGGCUGAGACUAGAGCGCCAUGCACGGCUGGAAGUACAGAACAGAGGGCUGGAAGGUCCCGGGGCCUGGCUGGCCCUCCACAUAGGGAUACUGUUGUGCUUUGGAUCUGUAACGUCCUCCCAAAGCCCCACGCACGCGAGGUGGGGCUUGGGAAGGCGAUUGGGUUACAGGUGAUCCAGCUGGCUUGCUGUUAGGAGGUGGGUCAGCAGGGGGCCAGUUUGGUUCCCUCUGGUCACCUCUGCCUUGCUGACUGCAAGGAUACACUUGGAUGGGCGCCUCUUCCUCCUGGUUCCUCCCUUUGCUCUCUGCUUCUUGGCUGCCAUGACAAGCAGCUUUCCUCCAAGGCAGGCCCUCCCACUGUCAUUUCCUGUUUGGAGCCUGCGGACCAUGGGCUGAAACUUCUGGAACUGUGAGCCAGUAUAAGUUGUAUUUAAGUUGUAGAUGUCCUUUAAGUCGUAGAUGCCAAAUAUCGUGUCUCAAAAAUGAGGGGAAAAAAACAUUAGAGUGAGCCAAAGAGUGUGAGGAGCCAUUCUACAUAAUUUCGGGGAAAAAUCAUUUCAUAGUCGAACUAUGAUUAGGGCCGUCUGAGGCCUAGUCUUCUCGCCACGGGCCGGCUAUGGCAUGAGGAAACAUAACUCCUCUUUGCCUCUGGACACAGCUGAGGCCUUAAUGGUCCCUCAAUGCUGUGAAACUCAAGGGCAAGAUUAUAUCAGCUGAAGACAUCCUGGUUCUUUGAGAAUUUAGUGGUAAUAAAAAAAAAAGAGUGGUUUCACCUGGGGAGGGACAAAUUCCUUAUUGGUUUAACCACUUACUGUUAGGAGAAUGUUUUGCUCAUCUCACCGCCCUAAUCAAUUUAACCCUCAUCAACCUAAGAUCUUCAUCAGCAUAAGCUCCUCCUCCUCAUAGGGUUACCGCCACCCUCUGGAUCCUCUGAUACUCCCUGCAAUUAUUGCAUGAACCCCAUAAAUAGAGCCCUACCUAGCAACAGGGAGUCAGAAAGGAAUGGGCACCACCCCAGUGACAGCAGGCAUAACACAGGCUGCAGAAGGAAGGUCACCAGAGGUGAACAGAUGCCUGCUGACAGCUGGCAGAGGGAGCUUCCAAGGACCAGAGCGAGUGGCAUCUAGCGACAGAGAAUCGGCCCUGCCCCAGAAGAAGCAGGAGCCCACAGCAGUGAAGAGGAUGACAGCUGGCAGAGCUUGCUCGGUGCUUUUCCUUCCUUUCUCUCUCUCUUUUUCUUUCCUUCCUUCCUUCUUUCCCUUCCUUUCUUUCUGUACCAGCGACUGAACUGUGGACCUUGUACUUGCGAUGGGCUUGCUGCUUUUAGACCUCAAUGUAUCAACAGUCAGUGUCUCAAAGUCCCCUCACUCCGUGGCCAAAUCUAACUGUAAAAUCUUCUCCGGCCAGCAGCAACCCUGGUGACAAGAGCACCUCCCCCCGACCUGGCUGCCCGGCUGGCAUGGUGAGGA